UUGAACGCUGGCGGCAGGCUUAACACAUGCAAGUCGAGCGGGGGAAGGUAGCUUGCUACCGGACCUAGCGGCGGACGGGUGAGUAAUGCUUAGGAAUCUGCCUAUUAGUGGGGACAACAUCUCGAAAGGGAUGCUAAUACCGCAUACGGCCUACGGGAGAAAGCAGGGGAUCUUCGGACCUUGCGCUAAUAGAUGAGCCUAAGUCGGAUUAGCUAGUUGGUGGGGUAAAGGCCUACCAAGGCGACGAUCUGUAGCGGGUCGGAGAGGAUGACCCGCCACAGUGGGCGUGAGACAGGCCCCGGGCCCCCCGGGGGGGCGCCGGGGGGGAUUUUGGACCAGGAGGGGGACCCCUGACCCCGCAUUGCCGCGUGUGGGAAGAAGCCUUUUGGUUUGUAAAGCAUUUUAGGCGGGGGGGGGACUACUUUAUUUAAUACCGAGGGUUGGGGGCCUUUCCUCGCAAAAUAACCCCCGGCUACCUUUGCC
rnacentral:rRNA from 1 species